GUAAACGUUGAGAUUAAACCGAAAAAUCAUGAGAAAUGUAGAGAGAGAAUCUAGAGAGAAGGAGGAGCGUUUGAGAACUCUUCAGAAGAUAGAGAGAGUUUAUUAAUCAGAACCGAGAAAGAAAAUGAAAUCUGUGUCCGUAAAAUAUCUACACCAUAGCCUAUAUACAACUUACAGAUAUCGGGUCGGGUCGGGUGAUCCGGACCAAAGUUAAAUAACCUGUGGGCUCAGAUACACAAAUCAUCAUAGCCCAAUUACAAGAGUAUA
rnacentral:lncRNA from 1 species